AGCAGCCGCGGUAAUUCCAGCUCCAAUAGCGUAUAUUAAAGUUGUUGCAGUUAAAAAGACUCGUAGUUGAAUUUCGGGAUCAAUUUAUUGGUCGUGCUAUUGUACGUACUGGUAUUAUUGAUUCCUACCUUCUGACGAACCAUGGUGUCAUUAAUUUGGUGUCAUGGGGAAUCAGGACUGUUACUUUGAAAAAUUAGAGU
rnacentral:rRNA from 1 species